CAGUAGCCGCGGGAAUACAGAGGGUGCGAGCGUUAAUCGGAUUUACUGGGCGUAAAGCGUGCGUAGGCGGCUUUUUAAGUCGGAUGUGAAAUCCCUGAGCUUAACUUAGGAAUUGCAUUCGAUACUGGGAAGCUAGAGUAUGGGAGAGGAUGGUAGAAUUCCAGGUGUAGCGGUGAAAUGCGUAGAGAUCUGGAGGAAUACCGAUGGCGAAGGCAGCCAUCUGGCCUAAUACUGACGCUGAGGUACGAAAGCAUGGGGAGCAAACAGGAUUAGAUACCCCCGUAGUCCCUGUCUCUUAUAC
rnacentral:rRNA from 1 species